AAAAAGUUUGACAUAGUGCUUCAACAUUUCCGCAUUCCUCCGCGACUACAAAGGCUGCAGCCGCCUCCUUCUGCUUUCUGUCUCUGCUCUCUGUCUUCACACUCAAUGAAAUCCUUCAUGUGCCUCUCCCGAAGCCUGCCAAGCACCGCAAGGGUCGCCACCAGCGCAGCGACAAGAGGCCGCACCGGGGACCACGACUCCCGCAAGUGCGCACACGCAGAUGAGCCCACGUGCACACUGACGGGCGCGGUGCUAGGCCCGGAGGUGCUCACCGCGGGGCGUGCGUUUUAACUCUGAUAUUUUAAAUUAGAAAAGUAAACUGGGAAACUAAAGCAAGUGUACAUCCUUGGGAAGCUCCCAGCCCAGGCACUGGCCGCCUGCGUGAACUUCUCUGUGUGCGUAACACGCCCGCAAGGGUUGCCAGCAAGAAGUCUGCGUUAACAUUUAUCUCGUGGUGGGGAAGGUGGAGCCCACACCCACACCUCAGCGAGCUGGAGGGGGAGCCUUUGUGGGGAAAUAAAUAUGGGGCACCGAAACACAUUCUCUCGAAGGGAGUCCCCAGAAGUAGUGCACUUUAAACCCUAAAUGUGGGUUAUUAUGUGAGAGUCCCAGUGGAGUUCGAGUUCCGUUUGAAGAAACUGGAUAAGAAGUGUUUGUGUGGGUGUUUGUGCGCAAGGCUAUGUGGGAGCAGGCACAGGAUCUCGGUGUUGGGGGGUGUCCCUAGUGUGGGAUGUUCCCCUCUAAUCAGCCAGAUAAGGAAACUCUUUUAGCUACCCAAAACUGGCCCCCAUAAUUACCCUGCCUCGGUUCGUAAAGGGUUAACCAAAGCCAAUUCUGAGGACAUAUCGCACUCCCCCCCCCGUCGCCCCCACCCACCCUUGCCUUCGGCCCCGGCCAAACCCCCAAAUCUCCGUCGGGGACCACCCCCCACCUCGCAGCCCACCCACCCGAACGUACAGCUCCUUACCUGAGGGGCCCGGUCGCGUCCGGCCUGUCCAGGGGGCUGCGGGCGUCAGUCCGACCUACGCACGUGUCCACGGCGGCGCGGAGCAGCCCUGCAAGCUAUUUGGCAUAUGAAGGUCUUGACCUGAGAAAACCAUCUUGGAUAACCGUGGCAAGGAGAAGGAAAAACGCAACACCUAGGAGAUUUCAGUAAACAGUAGAAUCAUGCCAACCUAAUCUGUGUUAAAAUGCUUGGAAUGUGGGAGCCGCUGAUGAUGCCUGUUGUCUGUGUGUCUGACUGAAUCCUUUCUUUUCUCAGAGCAGCAAAGCAAGGCCUGGGAACCAGGCCAAAUGCCUGCCACUUACCUUAAAUUGAUCAGCUACUUUGAGAUUAAACCCCCUGAAAGCUGCCACACCGUGAAAACAAGGCCUCCUUCACAUUAAAGGCAAAUUGCGACUUUG